rnacentral:rRNA from 1 species
GGCUGAAAUUCGCCUUCAUGAAGCCGGAAUUGCUAGUAAUGGCAGGUCAGCAUACUGCCGUGAAUACGUUCCCGGGCCUUGUACACACCGCCCGUCACACCAUGAGAGUUGGGAAUACCCGAAGCCUGUGAGCUAACUUAACGAGGCAGCAGUCGAAGGUAGAAUCAAUGAUUGGGGUGAAGUCGUAACAAGGUAUC